ACUAGGUAAGCCAGAUAGGGCUUGGGGGAGUAGGCCAGGUGUACAGUUGCAGUUUGUCAGUCCUGUCCUGGAUUGGUGAAUUAAUAUGUGUGAUGUCACUAGGAGGAGGGGUUGCAAAGGGGAUAUAAGCUGAUGCACACAAUGCAAGGGCAGUAAAAUAAUUUUAUGUUUUUUGUACUUACAGGUUUGCUACUGUUACAGUGUAGAUCCAGCAGGAUGACCACUAGAAGCAGGAAGAUACCUAAAAUGUAUAUGGUCAGCAAGAACAUGUGGAGUGGAAGUGCAGCAAGGGAGGAGAGAAAGUCUAAGAAGAGGAGGAUGGCUACAGUGAAGGAAGCUGGCAAGGAUUCUCAAGGAGUAAACAACCACACCACGGCUGAGGGAAUAAGUAUCCAGGGAAUGGACGCAGAUAGGAGAGAUCACUAGCAGCAAAGAACCAGCAAGGAACUGCUUGGGAAGAGAACAGCCAAACAAGCAGGAAGGAGCACACAAGAAUGGUACGCGUUGGCAAUCAAAUCCAGGGGUGAGGAGACAAAGAGCAAGAGAAAUACUUAUUUUGCUGAAUGAGUUGAAGGUUUUGCUAUAGAGGCUCACCCCAAACAGACAAAAGGGAUGAUGAGGUAUUUGCAUUUGAUUUCCGAUUGUUACACGGCAUAAGGGGGGUUCUCAUGGAAGGACUAUGACGAGAAAUUCAGGAAAGGUAACAUGGCGACAGGGGGUAAGGGCAGAAAGAAUUUUGGGGUUAAAGUGAUUGACAUGUGGUCUCGUUUAGUGAAGUUAGCAGAAGGCCAGGGGCCCAGAAAUCCCCAGUUGAU